UGCGAGGCUGACCGUCAGCUGAUGUAGAUAAAAGAAGGGUUAGAAACAUAGUGAUGAGCAUUAAAGAGGAUCACUGUUGUAACCAAAGAGAAUUAUUGUAGUAAAAGUCUUAUGUUCUAAAUGGAGAGGAGCCUAGAGAUUCGUAGCCAGGUUGGAGCGGAAAACGAGGAGAGUGACCAAGAUGGAUGCCAGGUCACUUCAACGUUCGCUGGGAGGUUCUUUUGUGUCUUAAGGAGGAUGUGAAAGUUGCAUACCUUAGCGUCGAGGAUUCGUGUAUGUAGAUUUCAAGUAGCGUAUGGUGGAGUGCCAAGUUUAGGCUAUAAAAUCUUUCAGAUCCUC
rnacentral:lncRNA from 1 species